rnacentral:misc_RNA from 1 species
GAUGAAGGACGUAGCGAAAUGCGAUACUUGGUGUGAAUUGCAGAAUCCCGUGAACCAUCGAGUCUUUGAACGCAAGUUGCGCCCGAAGCCACUAGGCCGAGGGCACGCCUGCCUGGGCGUCACACGUCGUUGCCCCCCCCCCCAUCUACUCCUUCGGGGUUGCGGGGGGCGGAUGAUGGCCUCCCGUGCGCCUAGCCGCGCGGUUGGCAUAAAUACCAAGUCCUCGGCGACGCACGCCACGACAAUCGGUGGUUGCGAAACCUCGGUUGCCCGUCGUGUGCGUUCGUCGCGCAUCGAGGGCUCGAAAAAAUGCUCGGCUCCGGCUCGGCUUUCAACGCGACCCCAGGUCAGGCGGGGUUACCCGCUGAAUUUAAGCAUAUCAAUAAGCGGAGGA